rnacentral:piRNA from 1 species
UGUUUAGGGAAACAUGGACAAGACUACCAAA